rnacentral:lncRNA from 1 species
AGCCGACCACGCUGUAUUCUGUAUAUGCAGAACUCUUUACAUAAAGGUGUAUGCUGGUUUGGUGCUCUGUAAAUGCAAGACUGCUGGUGAUGAGAGAGACUGACGCUUUGCCCCAAGGCGUACGGAGCAGCCACAGCUCCAGCAGCCCUGAAAAUCAGGCCCAGUUAUCCUGGCUAAAGGGAUCCUUGUGGGAACAGCUGAGACAUCUAAGGAGCAAUGGUCAUCAGCAAGCUGUAUCAGUGAGCCGGCUGUGUGCUGGUCUUUUUAUCCAUCAUAUAUGCUCAGCACGAGCUCGUGGGACAGAAGUGGGAUCUGGAUGGUGGAUUCUUCGAGGGCUGGAGGAUCUGAUAUGGCUCUGAGGCCAAGGAGAACAACUGCAAGCGCUUAGAGCCACUGGAGAAGCCAGCGUCUGCUUCAGUCAUCCGGAGGAUGUUUGGUGAUGAGGCAUAUGGAUGCCCUGAGGACAUGACAUUGUUUGUCCAGGGCCCUCCCCAUUCCCAGCAGAACAGGCUGGUGUUUGUCACGGGGAGAAAAAAACAGCCUCUAGUUGGAAUAACUCCCGAUUUAAGGUCCUGCGUGAGGCUGAUCUGCUUUUACGGCUCUCCAGGGAAAUGACGCUGCUAACCCUUUUUUAUUGGGUGGCCUAUUUUUAAUCAGCUCAGUGAUAAAAACGCAUUGGCUGGUCAUGGCUGCCAGAGGAGUUUCCAUUUUCAGCCUCCCCAGGUGCUGUUGGAGCCCAGCGCCGAUUCCUCAGAGGGUUAAAGCGAGCGGGUCAUUGCGACGUAGCCUUUCGCAGGCACUGCCAAGGAACGUCAACUGUCCCUUUGCACCCCGCGCCUGGGGGAUAGUAAAUCUGUACACAAACAUUAGGCCUUCCUGAAAAGUCUGACAUAGCAGGGAGAAAAUAAAAGCUGGAGGGUUUUAUUAUCUUUCUCCUUA